UACGUAGGGUGCGAGCGUUGCCCGGAUUUAUUGGGCGUAAAGGGCGCGUAGGCGGCUCGGCACGUCCGUUGUGAAAUCGCCCGGCUCAACUGGGCGGGGUCAGCGGAUACGGUCGAGCUUGAGCAAGCUAGGGGGUAAUGGAAUUCCCGGUGUAGUGGUGGAAUGCGUAGAUAUCGGGAGGAACACCAGUGGCGAAGGCGGUUACCUGGAGCUUUGCUGACGUUGAUGCGCGAAAGCGUGGGGAGCGAUCCGG
rnacentral:rRNA from 1 species